AUCUUUAUAUCCUAGUUUGAAGUGGUUCACCACACCAUGGCCACAACUUCAAAAGUGUCAGAUGAUCAUCAGACAUCACUCCUGCCUAGCAAAGAAAUGCAAACAUCCUUACCAUCAAGAGAGCUAAGUGGGGUAGUACUGAAGCAUGCCAGGCAAGGAAGUCACUUCAAAGUAAAGCUGAAACACGUGAAGAAGUUGUGGGGGAGAGAGCACUAGGAGGAGGAAAUUAGUUUGACCUUGGCUUA